GUCGAAGGUGGCACGGCGUCGGGCGCGGACGCGAUCGCCGCGUUGGAGGCAGCGGGGCUGUCGGUGCCGAGUUCGGUCCCGGCUUCGGCA
rnacentral:tRNA from 1 species